rnacentral:misc_RNA from 1 species
AAGUCGUAACAAGGUUUCCGUAGGUGAACCUGCGGAAGGAUCAUUAAAGAGUUGUCCUGCACCCCCCUGGGCAUGGAGGUCGUACGGUGAGGCUGCGGAGUUGAAACCCCGGGUUCCCAGUCCGUCCUUCCAUCCCCUGUGUAUACCUUCCACGUUGCUUUGGCGGGCCUGGGUACGUCCUUCUGGGCACCCUGCCGGCGUCGGACUUCGUCCCCGCCGGCGAGCGCCCGCCAGAGACCCUUACCAUUCUGAUUUUGUUCAAUGUCGUCUGAGCAAAAACACAAAAUAAAUAAAA